AGGGCGUGGGGCGAAUGCCUUGGCACCGGGAGCCGAAGAAGGACGUGGCAAACGACGAAAUGCCGGGAGGAGACGUAAGCAGUCAUUGAUACCCGGAUGUCCGAAUGAGGGAACUCACAUAAGGUAAACCUUAUGUAUCAUACAGUGAAUCCAUAGCUGUAUGAGGGGAACGAGGGGAACUGAAACAUCUAAGUACCCUUAGGAAAAGAAAAUAAAUAAUGAUUCCGUAAGUAGCGGCGAGCGAAAGCGGAAGAGCCCAAACCAUAUAGAAAUAUAUGGGGUUGCGGACAUAUCAGAGGAUACCGAAAUUUGUAGCCGAAUACGGCUGGAAAGCCGAACCGAAGAAGGUGAUGGUCCUGUAGGCGAAACAGAUUAAGGUAGAAGAUAUGAUCCAGAGUACCACGGGACACGAGGAAUCCUGUGGGAAGCAGGGAGGACCACCUCCCAAGGCUAAAUACUACCCGGUGACCGAUAGAGAAGAGUACCGUGAGGGAAAGGUGAAAAGAACCCCGGGAGGGGAGUGAAAAAGAACCUGAAACCCCAUGCCUAUAAGCAGUGGGAGUCCGGCACUCAAUUCUGAGGAUAAGCGAAAAUUGAGUGAAAGGAAGCACAAUAAGUAGUUUAUCAAUAGAAUUGAGUGCCGGAUGACCGCGUACUUUUUGUAGAACGGGCCAACGAGUUACAAUAUGCAGCGAGGUUAAUAACUAAGAGGUUAGGAGCCGAAGGGAAACCGAGUCUGAAGAGGGCGAGAGUUGCAUGUUGUAGACCCGAAACCGGGUGACCUAUCCAUGUGCAGGUUGAAACUAGAGUAAAGUCUGGUGGAGGACCGAACCCAUUAGCGUUUAAAAGCUACGGGAUGACGUGUGGAUAGGGGUGAAAUUCCAAUCGAACCCGGAGAUAGCUGGUUCUCCUCGAAAUAGCUUUAGGGCUAGCCUCAGGAAAGAGUAUCGUGGGGGUAGAGCACUGACUGGUCUAGGGGCGUUAUACGUUACCGAAACCUAUCAAACUCCGAAUACCACAGAUAUGUUGCCUGGGAGUCAGACUACGAGAGAUAAGUUUCGUGGUCAAAAGGGAAACAGCCCAGAUCACCAACUAAGGUCCCAAAAUACAGAUUAAGUGGAAAAGGAUGUAAAACUACACAGACAACCAGGAUGUUGGCUUAGAAGCAGCCAUUCAUUAAAAGAGUGCGUAAUAGCUCACUGGUCGAGUGGUUUUGCGCCGAAGAUGUCCGGGGCUAAAAUCUGUUACCGAAGUUGUGGACCUGCACUCAAUUUUGCAGAUAAGCGAUAAACUAAGAGAAGUUUAGUUUACCUGCAAAAUUGAGUGCAGGUGGUAGAGGAGCAUUCUGUAAGGGUCGAAGCACUACCGAAAGGAGUUGUGGACUUUACAGAAGAGAGAAUGUUGGCAUGAGUAGCGAAAGGGGAGUGAGAAUCUCCCCCAUCGAAAGCCUAAGGAUUCCUGAGGAAGGUUCGUCCACUCAGGGUAAGUCGGGACCUAAGCCGAGGCCAAAAGGCGUAGGCGAUGGACAACCGGUUGAGAUUCCGGUACCACCUUUAAGCGUUUGAGAGACGGGGUGACACAGAAGGGUAAGCUAAGCGCACUGAUGGAAUAGUGCGUCCAAGUAAGUAGGGAGAUAACCGAGGCAAAUCCCGGAUAUCAAUCCUGAGAUACGAAGGGGAGCGAAAACAAGUAGUGAAGUAGCUGAGCCCAUGCUGUCAAGAAAAGCCUCUAUCGAGCGAGAAGGUGCCCGUACCGCAAACCGACACAGGUAGGCAAGGAGAGAAUCCAAAGAUGCGCGGAAGAACUAUUGUUAAGGAACUAGGCAAAAUGACCCCGUAACUUCGGGAGAAGGGGUGCCGUGUUUUGUGAAAUCUAAACAGGUGGAGCAGGAUACGGCCACAGAAAACAGGCCCAAGCGACUGUUUACCAAAAACACAGGUCUCUGCUAAAUCGAAAGAUGAAGUAUAGGGGCUGACACCUGCCCGGUGCUGGAAGGUUAAGGGGAGAAGUUACCCCGCACUCAAUUCUGUAUAUAAUUUAAGAAACAAUUUUAAAAAGAAUGAGAUAGAUUGUAUAUGGAAUUGAGUGCGGGGGAAGCUUUGAACUUAAGCCCCAGUAAACGGCGGCCGUAACUAUAACGGUCCUAAGGUAGCGAAAUUCCUUGUCGGGUAAGUUCCGACCCGCACGAAAGGUGUAACGAUUUGGGCACUGUCUCAACAAUAGAUCCGGUGAAAUUGUAGUACUCGUGAAGAUGCGAGUUACCCGCGGCAGGACGGAAAGACCCCAUGGAGCUUUACUGCAGGCUGACAUUGGAAUUCGGUAGCAAUUGUACAGAAUAGGUGGGAGACUGAGAAGCCGGUACGCCAGUAUUGGUGGAGUCGCCUUUGGGAUACCACUCUAUUGUUACUGAAUUUCUAACAUGGUACCGUAAUCCGGUACAUGGACACUGUCAGUUGGGCAGUUUGACUGGGGCGGUCGCCUCCGAAAGAGUAACGGAGGCGCUCAAAGGUUCCCUCAGCACGGUCGGAAAUCGUGCGAAGAGUGUAAAGGCAGAAGGGAGCUUGACUGUGAGAGAGGCAUCUCGAGCAGGAACGAAAGUUGGACUUAGUGAUCCGGUGGCACCGAGUGGAAAGGCCAUCGCUUAACGGAUAAAAGCUACCCUGGGGAUAACAGGCUUAUCUCCCCCAAGAGUCCACAUCGACGGGGAGGUUUGGCACCUCGAUGUCGGCUCGUCUCAUCCUGGGGCUGAAGCAGGUCCCAAGGGUUGGGCUGUUCGCCCAUUAAAGAGGCACGCGAGCUGGGUUCAGAACGUCGUGAGACAGUUCGGUCCCUAUCCGCCGUGGGCGCAGGAAAUUUGAAGGGAGCUGUUCCUAGUACGAGAGGACCGGAAUGGACAGACCGCCGGUGAAUCAGUUGUCCCGCCAGGGGCACGGCUGAGUAGCUGAGUCUGGAAAGGAUAAGCGCUGAAAGCAUCUAAGCGCGAAACGUACCCUAAGAUAAGAUUUCCCAUCACAUAAGUGAGUAAGACCCCUGAUAGGUUAACAGGUUGAUAGGUCGCAGGUGUAAGUGCAGCAAUGCAUUCAGCUGAGCGAUACUAAUAGGUCGAGGUCUUGACC
rnacentral:rRNA from 1 species